CGUGCUUAACACAUGCAAGUCGAACGAUGAAGCCGGAGCUUGCUCCGGUGGAUUAGUGGCGAACGGGUGAGUAACGCGUGGGAACGUGCCCUUCAGUUCGGGAUAACCCAGGGAAACUUGGGCUAAUACCGGAUACGUGCGAGAGCAGAAAGAUUUAUCGCUGAAGGAUCGGCCCGCGUCUGAUUAGCUAGUUGGUGGGGUAAUGGCCCACCAAGGCAACGAUCAGUAGCUGGUCUGAGAGGAUGAUCAGCCACAUUGGGACUGAGACACGGCCCAAACGCCUACGGGAGGCAGCAGUGGGGAAUAUUGGACAAUGGGCGCAAGCCUGAUCCAGCCAUGCCGCGUGAGUGAUGAAGGCCUUAGGGUUGUAAAGCUCUUUCGUCCGGGACGAUAAUGACGGUACCGGAAGAAGAAGCCCCGGCUAACUUCGUGCCAGCCGCCGCCGUAA
rnacentral:rRNA from 1 species